CCCCUAGACGACCACAGAUGCUGAUCUUCAGAAGGCAGGAAUGUCAGGCCUCUGAGCCGAAGCUAAACCAUCGCAUCGCCUGUGACCUGCAGGUAUAUGCCCAGAUGGCCUGAAGUACCUGAAGAAUCACAAAAGAAGUGAAAAUGGCCUGUUCCUGCCUUAACUGAUGACAUUCCACCACAAAAGAAGUGAAAAUGGCCAGUCCUUGCCUUAACUGAUGACAUUACCUUGUAAAAUUCCUUUUCCUGGCUCAUCCUGGCUCAAAAAGCUCCCCCACUGAGCACCUUGUGACCCCCACCCCUGCCCGCCAGAGAACAACCCCUUUUGACUAUAAUUUUCCUUUACCUACCCAAAUCCUAUAAAACCCAAAUCCCCCACCUUUAUCUCCC
rnacentral:lncRNA from 10 species